rnacentral:rRNA from 1 species
AACGAACGCUGGCGGCAUGCCUAACACAUGCAAGUCGAACGAGACCUUCGGGUCUAGUGGCGCACGGGUGCGUAACGCGUGGGAGCCUGCCCUUAGGUUCGGAAUAACUCCCCGAAAGGGGUGCUAAUACCGGAUAAUGUCUUCGGACCAAAGAUUUAUCGCCUUUGGAUGUGCCCGCGUUGGAUUAGCUAGUUGGUAGGGUAAAAGCCUACCAAGGCGACGAUCCAUAGCUGGUCUGAGAGGAUGAUCAGCCACACUGGGACUGAGACACGGCCCAGACUCCUACGGGAGGCAGCAGUGGGGAAUAUUGGACAAUGGGCGAAAGCAUGAUCCAGCAAUGACGCGUGAGUGAUGAAGGCCUUAGGGUUGUAAAGCUCUUUUACCCGGGAUGAUAAUGACAGUACCGGGAGAAUAAGCCCCGGCUAACUCCGUG